rnacentral:rRNA from 1 species
AGAGUUUGAUCCUGGCUCAGAAAACAGUAAGGCGGCGUGCCUAACACAUGCAAGUCGUACGAGAAAGUCCGCUUCGGUGGGCAAGUAAAGUGGCGCACGGGUGAGUAACGCGUGGAUAAUCUACCCUUUAGUCUGGAAUAACUUAUCGAAAGGUGAACUAAUACCGGAUAAUAUCCCGAAUUCUCCGGAAAUCGGGAUCAAAGAAGGCCUCUGCUUGCAAGCUUUUGCUGAAGGAUGAGUCCGCGUACCAUUAGCUAGUUGGUAGGGUAAAGGCCUACCAAGGUUAUGAUGGUUAGCUGGUCUGAGAGGAUGAUCAGCCACACUGGAACUGAAACACGGUCCAGACUCCUACGGGAGGCAGCAGUGAGGAAUAUUGCGCAAUGGGGGCAACCCUGACGCAGCAACGCCGCGUGAGUGAGGAAGGUUUUCGGAUUGUAAAGCUCUGUCGAGCGGAAAGAAAUAUAUGGUGGCUAAUAUUCACCAUAUUUGACGGUACCGUUAGAGGAAGCACCGGCUAACUCCGUGCCAGCAGCCGCGGUAAUACGGGGGGUGCAAGCGUUGUUCGGAAUCAUUGGGCGUAAAGAGCGUGUAGGCGGCUGGACAAGUCAGAUGUGAAAGCCCUGGGCUUAACCCAGGAAGUGCAUUUGAAACUGUCUUG